GGCAUGUAGCUCAGUUGGUAAAGUGCUUACCUUGAAUGUGCAAGGCCAUGGGUUCAAUCCCCAGCACCA
rnacentral:tRNA from 1 species